CACGAAGCCGGAAUCGCUAGUAAUCGCAGAUCAGCAUGCUGCGGUGAAUACGUUCCCGGGUCUUGUACACACCGCCCGUCACACCAUGGGAGUCGGAAAUGCCCGAAGUCAGUGGCCCAACCGCAAGGAGGGAGCUGCCGAAGGCAGGUCCGGUGACUGGGGUGAAGUCGUAACAAGGUACC
rnacentral:rRNA from 1 species